rnacentral:rRNA from 1 species
CAGUCGCCGCGGGAAUACGAAGGGGGCUAGCGUUGUUCGGAACUACUGGGCGUAAAGCGCACGUAGGCGGAUAUUUAAGUCAGGGGUGAAAUCCCAGAGCUCAACUCUGGAACUGCCUUUGAUGCUGGGUAUCUUGAGUAUGGAAGAGGUGAGUGGAAUUCCGAGUGUAGAGGUGAAAUUCGUAGAUAUUCGGAGGAACACCAGUGGCGAAGGCGGCUCACUGGUCCAUUACUGACGCUGAGGUGCGAAAGCGUGGGAGCAAACAGGAUUAGAUACCCCUGUAGUCCCUGUCUCUUAUACC